rnacentral:rRNA from 1 species
GAUGAACGCUGGCGGCGUGCCUAAUACAUGCAAGUCGAGCGAACGGACGAGAAGCUUGCUUCUCUGAUGUUAGCGGCGGACGGGUGAGUAACACGUGUAUAACCUCCCUAUAAGACUGGGAUAACUUCGGGAAACCGGAUCUUAUACCGUAUGAGAUUUUGCACCGCAUGGUUCAAAAGUGAAAGACGGUCUUGCUGUCACUUCUAGAUGGAUCCCGGCUGCAUUAGCUAGUUGUUACGGUAACGGGUUACCAAGGCAACGAUGCAUAGCCGACCUCAUAGGCUGAUAGGCGACCUGGGAACUUGGACACGGUCCUGACUCCUGCGGGAGGCAGCAGUAGGGAAUCGGACGCAAUGGUGGAAAGCCUGACGGAGCAACGCCGCGUGAGUGGUGGAUGUGUUCGGAGCGUGAAACUCUGUUACGAGUGAAGAACCGAUGUGUACGGAAAUGUGCAGAGCGUGACGGUAACUAAUCAGAAAGCCACGGCUAACUACGUG